UACGGAGGGUGCAAGCGUUGUCCGGAUUUAUUGGGCGUAAAGAGCUCGUAGGCGGCUUGUCGCGUCGACUGUGAAAUCCCGCGGCUCAACUGCGGGUCUGCAGUCGAUACGGGCAGGCUAGAGUUCGGUAGGGGAGACUGGAAUUCCUGGUGUAGCGGUGAAAUGCGCAGAUAUCAGGAGGAACACCGAUGGCGAAGGCGGCGACCUGGGUAGAUACUGACGCUGAGGUGCGAAAGCGUGGGGAGCAAACAGG
rnacentral:rRNA from 1 species